rnacentral:rRNA from 1 species
CAGUAGCCGCGGGAAUACGAGGGGGGCAAGCGUUGUUCGGAAUUAUUGGGCGUAAAGGGUGCGUAGGCGGCUUGACAAGUCUUGUGUGAAAUCUAUGGGCUCAACCCAUAGUCUGCACGGGAAACUGUCGGGCUUGAGAAUGGGAGAGGUGAGUGGAAUUUCCGGUGUAGUGGUGAAAUGCGUAGAUAUCGGAAGGAACACCUGUGGCGAAAGCGGCUCACUGGACCAUUUCUGACGCUCAUGCACGAAAGCGUGGGGAGCAAACAGGAUUAGAGACCCCAGUAGUCCCUGUCUCUUAUAC